rnacentral:rRNA from 1 species
UACAGAGGUCUCAAGCGUUGUUCGGAUUCAUUGGGCGUAAAGGGUGCGUAGGUGGCGCUGUAAGUCAGGUGUGAAAUUUCGGAGCUUAACUCCGAAACUGCAUUUGAUACUGCGGUGCUUGAGGACCGGAGAGGAGACUGGAAUUUACGGUGUAGCAGUGAAAUGCGUAGAGAUCGUAAGGAAGACCAGUGGCGAAGGCGGGUCUCUGGACAGUUCCUGACACUGAGGCACGAAGGCCAGGGGGAGCAAACGGG